GGCCGCUCGCUCCUCCACCCGCCCCCGCUGCGCGCCGUCCUCCGCCCGCGGCCGCUCGCUCCUCCACCCGCCCCCGCUGCGCGCGUUGUCCUCCGUCGCCGCCUCGCGCGUCGUUCAACAACCCGUCGCCGUGCGCGCCGUCCUCCUUCCUCCGCCAGCCCGCCCGCCCGCCAUCCGUCCUCCGAGCGUCGGGCCUGCGUGUAUCUAGAUCUCCCCUAAUCCGGCCAACUCCGGCUAACUCCAUUCGAAUCCACCAUUGGAACGCCUCCCACCCCUCGCCCGAUCUUCCCGCAGCCUGAAUCAGCUAUUUUUCCUACCGCCGGAGCUUCUCCGCCACACUCGGUGAGCACCCCCUCCGGUCCCACUGCCUGGCCUUAUCCUUCUCUCCUCCUCUUCAUGGGUUUGGUGUCGUCCAUUGCGUGCUGCCAAAAUGUCGGUCAGGCUCCGUCGUCUUGUUGUGCUUCGGGGUCCACUUGCGGUUGCGCGGGGAGGAGCUUUGCCAUAGCGGAGCCAGCGCGGUUGUGAUUUGUGGCCGCACUGACGGCUGCUGCUGGGCUUGCUGUUUCACACUGCGGCGGCACGGGUGAGGGACGAGAUGCGGACUCUUACUCUUGUGGCGCUUCUUCUUGCUUCGGCUCUUGGAUCCAGGUGUGAGCACAGCUUCACACAUUGCAAAAGUCUUUUCAAUUUCAGCUUCCCCUUUGCUCUGGUUUCUCGGGGAGGGCAGUGUAUGGCGCUCAGCUGGCUUGAGGAUUAGCAAUGUUGAGGCGGGGCUGUUUCUCCAUAUGUUUUCUUCCAGACCUGGGUUGAGCAAUUUUAGAAGAACAUUGUGUGAUUUGACAGUAUUUUCGUGUUCUGGAUCGACUAUUUUCUCAACAAUGCAUGUGUUGUUCAACUGAUCCAUGGUUGAUGAAUUGUGGUUCUGAACCUUUACUUCAGAAUUUGAGCGAAUGGUGGGGUAAAUGCUCUGAGGUUGCUAGAAUUAAAUGAAAUUUCUGUUUCUGAAUUUUGAUUACGAUGGAUGCUGCAAUGUAGGUGGCUUGGUAGCUCUAACUCUCGUCCGGGCUUGCUGUAAGUUGUAGCUUUCUCACUGAAAUGCCUGAGAUGAUUGCAUAUUGAUUCUUUUAACAUAAAUAUGAAGGGCAUUUCCAUGCCCUGUAGGCCUGUACUUGCAUCAUCAUUGCUCUUCGUUAUGCAACACGGUAGGGUGUGACACAGCACUGGUAAUUUUCCUGAGCCAGUAACCUAAUGAUUGCAACUUCUUGUAAUUGCAGAGAGUGUACAUAAUUGUAGUAUGUGCGAUGAACUUGUAUUCUUUGCUGUAGGUACUACUCCGACCCCUUCUCCUGUUGUCACCGAUUCUCCUGCAAGCCAAUUCUUUUGCUCUAGGUACUACUCUGGCGCCUUCUCCUGCGUCACUGAUUCUCCUGCAAGCCAAGGACAAGCUUCUAGCCCUCCUGAACCUGCAUUUGCUCUUGGUCCAGUAACUGUUCCAACAGCACCAUCUACUCCAUCAGCACCUUCCCCAGAGAAGUCAGUUGUUAGUCCUGCUGCUCCUACUGAGCCACAAAAUGCCCCGAAGUCCGGUCACAAUCCAAUUUUGUUUGCUCAUCAAGAGUGAAGGCUCAAGCAAGCGACAACUCCCUACCCAUUGAUCAAUCUCUGAUCGCCUAUUUUAUUGCUAUGGUUGAUAUAUUUGCUCUACUGUUGCAGGGCCUCAAUUUAAGAUCUCAGGAAUUUGGAUUGUGAUGUACAGGCCUAGGCGAGAGGGUCAACCCCCAGAAGGGGGCUCAUAAACAUAUAUAUGCAGGACCUGAUAGUGGUUUAGCUGUUUUGUCUUAAAACUAUUUGCUAGGUACAGAGAAAAGAAAAGAAAAGAUAUAUGAAGAUGUUGCACUACUUUUGUAGAAGUCGUUUCUCAUAUAUAUGAAGUUCUUUUAAGUUUUAAGACAUGAUGAAGUAUUAUGAUCAAUAGGGUCGUUCAGGUUUGAUUUUUCUAUGUAAGAAGGCAAUCAUACUAGAUUUUUUUUUUGAUAUGGUGAUAUCUGAUAUGGAGUUCUCAGAUGGGACACAUAUUUUGCAGCUAGAUAUGCUAUAUUGCUUGUAAUUCAGGCAGCUGAUAUCUUUUCCGUAUUCACUUGCUCCAACCUUGGUCUACAUGAAUAUAAAUUCAAGUUCAAGGGUGCUGAGUUUAAUUUGUACGCAACUCACAACUUUUUUGGGAUUAACUCCAGAUUAUCCCUGCUGAUAUAUGGGUAUUUAUUUAUUUGUUUGAUAGGGUAAUAUCUGAUAUAUAGUUCUCAGUUGGCCCUAAUAUUAUAUCCUUUGAUAGAAAUGUUGGAUGGAACCACAUGGGGAUCCUCAUUGAAUUGCCAUGCAACAAACUGAGUCGUCUUGUUGAUUGGAUGAUCAUGCUUUUCUAUUGGUAUAUCUUCUUCUUUAUCAUCUAUAUCAAUUAUAUCAAUGACUUCAGAUACAUCCUGGUUGGCGACAUCUUUGAGGUCUAUAAAUUAUGAUCUUUUUAAACAACUAUUAUGUCUUGCACUAUAAUUUCUUUUUUGCUUUCUUUUUUGCUGUCCGUAGCAACGCACGGGUACGAAUCUAGUAAGAUUAAAUAAGUUGGUUUUCAUACAUUUGCACAAUUACCUUACUCUAUGGGGUUUUUUUGGCCGUUUCCUUGUCUUGGGUUGUUGAGAGUUAGAAUGGUGCACAGAGUAACAUUUACUUUUUCAUAGAUCCGCAAUCUAUUUAGAGAUAUUUUUUGAAAGAUUUUUGAAAAUGUGGCAAAGUUCCCAGGAUAAUUCUCUCGAGGCACUCAACUUGUAUUUCCUUAUCAAGGCGGUAUCUGCCUUUAAUCUUUCCUACUACUACAAGUCUUUGUGGAGCUCAAGAUAGGAUAAGAACGGGCACACUUGUAUUCUAUAUGUUGUAAAGUUAAAGAGAUGAUCUACGAAGAAACAAGUCAUGCAAUCUCGAUCAAAAGAUGCAAGUGUAUGAGUGGAUGGAUAGAUGGAUGGAUGGAUAGAUAUGGUUUACUCCUUGAGGGAUGUUCUACGAGAGAUAUCACCAAAACAUGGAGCAUUUAUUAAUAGUGAAUGGAUGGAUGGUGGUGCUAAUUCUCAGUGUAGAAAUGUAGCAAAUGGACGGGACAUGUACGUGCUUGUGAUCGAGAAAGCAUGAAAAGCAUCUCACUAGGGUCACACAAUUUGACAAAACUCAAUAGAACAUCAAGCAGUAUAUGUGUAAGGUUUUGCAUGGAAUAUGACAUAUGGCUCUGGUAGGACAUUGCAUAUCA